UUACGAUCUGAUGGCAGGAAUCGUUGAUCACGAAUACAAGCCUUCGGAUUCCUCUCUGCGGUUUUAAUUCUGUAACUUCUCCUUCAAUCAGUGAGUGUUUCAGUCAACCGACAUUACGAUCUGGUGACAGGAAUCGACGAUCGCAAUGACUUUUCUUGGUGAACCCUAGCACCACCAACACCAAAAUUGGGAUGAAUUACUUGGGGCCUCAGGGAGUAUUUUCGCAGUGCGAAUACGGACAUUUGUGAAAUUAGUGAAGGGCGAUUAGAUUAUAUCCGCAGCUAAAAAAUUGGAUGGUUUAAUUGUUGCUACAGUAGCUGCAAACUUGCAGACGUGAGUUCUGAUCUUAUGGUGAUAAUUUAAUUGUUGCAGAGAAUUCUUCGGGCUUUUGAAAGCAUAGAAAGCAUAGAAUUUACUCUGAAAAUUGUGCACUUGACAACAUUAUGACGUUCGACUAAAUAGAUAGCUGCAACAAUUGUAUAUCUUGCCAGUUGGAUGCUAGGUCAGUCGUGCUACCUUGGGGAGUUUUCUGUAAUUUUUCAACCCAAAAUGAACAGGCUGGUUCAUGGGUCAAAAUGGAUAAAGCAUGCCGGUUGAU